UACGUAGGUGGCAAGCGUUGUCCGGAUUUACUGGUCGUAAAGAGCGCGCAGGCGGUCGGAUAAGUCGAAUGUGAAAGCCCCCGGCUCAACUGGGGAGGGUCAUUCGAUACUGUUCGACUCGAAGGCAGGAGAGGGAAGUGGAAUUCCCGGUGUAGUGGUGAAAUGCGUAGAUAUCGGGAGGAACACCAGUGGCGAAGGCGACUUCCUGGCCUGUUCUUGACGCUGAGGCGCGAAAGCUAGGGGAGCAAACGGG
rnacentral:rRNA from 1 species